rnacentral:rRNA from 1 species
AACGAACGCUGGCGGCAUGCCUAACACAUGCAAGUCGAACGAGACCUUCGGGUCUAGUGGCGCACGGGUGCGUAACGCGUGGGGACCUGCCCUUAGGUUCGGAAUAACUCCCCGAAAGGGGUGCUAAUACCGGAUAAUGUCUUCGGACCAAAGAUUUAUCGCCUUUGGAUGGGCCCGCGUUGGAUUAGCUAGUUGGUAGGGUAAAAGCCUACCAAGGCGACGAUCCAUAGCUGGUCUGAGAGGAUGAUCAGCCACACUGGGACUGAGACACGGCCCAGACUCCUACGGGAGGCAGCAGUGGGGAAUAUUGGACAAUGGGCGGAAGCCUGAUCCAGCAAUGCCGCGUGAGUGAUGAAGGCCUUAGGGUUGUAAAGCUCUUUUACCCGGGAUGAUAAUGACAGUACCGGGAGAAUAAGCUCCGGCUAACUCCGUG